GUGGUAUCCUGUCUGAAUAUGGGGGGACCAUCCUCCAAGGCUAAAUACUCCUGACUGACCGAUAGUGAACCAGUACCGUGAGGGAAAGGCGAAAAGAACCCCGGCGAGGGGAGUGAAAAAGAACCUGAAACCGUGUACGUACAAGCAGUGGGAGCACAGGUUUACCUGUGUGACUGCGUACCUUUUGUAUAAUGGGUCAGCGACUUAUAUUCUGUAGCAAGGUUAACCGAAUAGGGGAGCCGGAGGGAAACCGAGUCUUAAUUGGGCGUUAAGUUGCAGGGUAUAGACCCGAAACCCGGUGAUCUAGCCAUGGGCAGGUUGAAGGUUGGGUAACACUAACUGGAGGACCGAACCGACUAAUGUUGAAAAAUUAGCGGAUGACCUGUGGCUGGGGGUGAAAGGCCAAUCAAACCGGGAGAUAGCUGGUUCUCCCCGAAAGCUAUUUAGGUAGCGCCUCGUGAAUUCAUCUCCGGGGGUAGAGCACUGUUUCGGCUAGGGGGCCAUCCCGGCUUACCAACCCGAUGCAAACUGCGAAUACCGGAGAAUGUUAUCACGGGAGACACACGGCGGGUGCUAACGUCCGUCGUGAAGAGGGAAACAACCCAGACCGCCAGCUAAGGUCCCAAAGUCAUGGUUAAGUGGGAAACGAUGUGGGAAGGCCCAGACAGCCAGGAUGUUGGCUUAGAAGCAGCCAUCAUUUAAAGAAAGCGUAAUAGCUCACUGGUCGAGUCGGCCUGCGCGGAAGAUGUAACGGGGCUAAACCAUGCACCGAAGCUGCGGCAGCGAACGUAUCACCCAAGACAACUUUACGGAGUUGACGAUUGACGGAGCGAAGCGACGUCAAAGCGUUCAUUAAAGUCGAGUUGGCUUAGGGAUACGUUCGUUGGGUAGGGGAGCGUUCUGUAAGCCUGUGAAGGUGUGUCGUGAGGCAUGCUGGAGGUAUCAGAAGUGCGAAUGCUGACAUAAGUAACGAUAAAGCGGGUGAAAAGCCCGCUCGCCGGAAGACCAAGGGUUCCUGUCCAACGUUAAUCGGGGCAGGGUGAGUCGACCCCUAAGGCGAGGCCGAAAGGCGUAGUCGAUGGGAAACGGGUUAAUAUUCCCGUACUUGGUGUUACUGCGAAGGGGGGACGGAGAAGGCUAUGUUGGCCGGGCGACGGUUGUCCCGGUUUAAGCGUGUAGGUGUGUGUUCCAGGUAAAUCCGGUUCACUUUAACACUGAGGCGUGACGACGAGGCACUACGGUGCUGAAGCAACAAAUGCCCUGCUUCCAGGAAAAGCCUCUAAGCAUCAGGUAACACGAAAUCGUACCCCAAACCGACACAGGUGGUCAGGUAGAGAAUACCAAGGCGCUUGAGAGAACUCGGGUGAAGGAACUAGGCAAAAUGGUGCCGUAACUUCGGGAGAAGGCACGCUGACACGUAGGUGAAGUGAUUUACUCAUGGAGCUGAAGUCAGUCGAAGAUACCAGCUGGCUGCAACUGUUUAUUAAAAACACAGCACUGUGCAAACACGAAAGUGGACGUAUACGGUGUGACGCCUGCCCGGUGCCGGAA
rnacentral:rRNA from 1 species